GUAAUCUCAAUUUUUGGAAUUUUUGCUGCAUUAAGUCCUCUUCUGAUUGAGCAACCGUUGCAGCGCUGUCAUCUGGAAGUACCUCUUCGUUCAGAACUUCUUCAUCUACUUCCUUGAAAAGCAGAAAGAAAAAACUGUACAUUAAUCGGCUAAAAAGCGGAAAGACAAAUGGAAAACCAAAAUAGAAGCUGCUGGCCAAGAUUGACCUCUACCGUAUUUCUAAACCUUGCACGAGGGUAAAAGACGCGGAACCAAAAGACGUCGCCAUGUAUUGUAUGACUCAACUCCGGUAAACUUGGAAACUGUUCAGGUUAUCAAUCAUCGUUACCUCCUCCACCGAGUCAGUAAGAAGAUGAAAUGAAUCACGGUCUGCUUGCCUGGCAUUUAGCAGGUUGAUACUAUUUUUGAUGGAAGAAAACCUGAUUUAAUCUAAAAGGUGACGAAUGACAAAACGAGGAGAGCAUUCCUUUCGCUUGCUUCCGUUUAUGUGUUUAAGACGUCAGUAGCGUCCACCAAUCAUAGUACUCAGCACCGCGACAGGGUUGAUCACCAGCUGGAUGAUAAAGCAGCUGUAGAGCGGCCUCCGCAAGUUCUUAAUUUAGUAUGCUUGUUUUUUGUUUUGUUUUUUUAAAUCUUCUUUUCUCUCUUAACUGUGUGGUUAUUUAGACUACGUGUCACAUAAAGGAAGUAACAAAUACAGGCCGGUACUCAACUAGAACAAAACUUCAGGGAAAAAGAAAGCAUGGAUAUACCUUGAUCUCAUCGAAGGUGACGGGCUGUGUUCGAUAACGCCCAAUAGCUCCGGCUGAUGGCUGUGCCUCCCGAUACAGAAAUCUCCGCUGGUUGCGCCGACCCGAAGUUCCGUCGGCAGCACCGCGAUGUAGCCGUGAUAUGUGCUCCGGGAAAACGGCGUCUACCUCUUUUCUAAACUCUUGGCAAGCCAUUUCAUCUGACCAGGUCUGACAGUCUGAUGAUGCGUUACCAGUUUUUUCCUCCCGGCAGUCCUCUCUAAGUUUCACGACUCUCGCGUCUUCCCAAAAUAUCACGCGAGUAUCACGCUAUAACGCUUUCCGAAUUUUCACCAAAAUUUCUCCUGCUUGAACAGACGUGAAGUACUGGUCUUCAGUUAAAAGAUUUAAAACACAAAAUUUGUUUAUCAAAUGUCUCCGACAAGCAUAGAAACGUGAUCGAUGCGUGCCAGACCAAAGUUUUGCGAAGAGUGACUGCCCAAUUUGGGAACACCUUCUAAGUUUCAGAGUAUUACAACAUCCCUGUCAAUACUGAA